rnacentral:rRNA from 1 species
UAAUACAACUUUCAGCAACGGAUCUCUUGGCUCUCGCAUCGAUGAAGAACGCAGCGAAAUGCGAUAAGUAAUGUGAAUUGCAGAAUUCAGUGAAUCAUCGAAUCUUUGAACGCACCUUGCGCUCCUUGGUAUUCCGAGGAGCAUGCCUGUUUGAGUG